rnacentral:tRNA from 1 species
GGAAAAAUAGCCUAAAGGUAAGGCAGAAGCUUGCUAAGUUUUGGAUUAAAAAAUCUUUAAAGGUUCGAGUCCUUUUUUUUCCA